ensembl:lincRNA Gm43269 predicted gene 43269
UCAGUAAGCAGCACUCCUCCAUGGCUUCUGCCUCAUCUCCUGCCUCCAGGUCUUGCCCUGCUUGAGUUCCUGUUCUGACUUCCUUCAGUGAUGAACCGUGACGUGGAAUUGUGCCAAAUAAAUCAAGUUGCUUUUGGUCAUGGCAUUUCAUCCCAGCAAUGGUAACCCUAACAAAGACAGGAUCCAUCUUCCCAGGUGGAUUUUCUUCUCCUUGUGUUAAAUCUAUCCAGCACACUGGGAGUUAGCUGGACCCAUCUGGCUCAGCACCAGCCUCUGCAGAGCCUGCCCUGGCACGGCCCACCUCACGCAGAAUUCAAUGAGUAUUUCCAUUCAGCCUUCCCACAACAGUGCCAGCCAGUUUGCAGAUGUUGUCAUUGAAUGGGUUCCCGGUCCCUGUGACUUGAAGCAGCAGUUCCAUCAAGCUGCUACAGAAAGACUUUUUUUUUUAAGCUAACAAAACUAAACCCAUGGCUGUUCUUGAAGUGGACUCAUUUGGAAAUAAAAUCUCUCCACAAA